rnacentral:piRNA from 1 species
UGCCUCAAAACAUUAGAUUUGCUAUUGGA